UGAUUGACUUUUUUUUUUAUACAACUCCCAGGUAAAAAAGUAGUAUACUUUAGUGUGUUAGAAAUAUGAUUAAAGUACAUGAAGUAUAAAGCAAGUAUGCUUACACGUUUUGUACUUUAUGUAAAGUAUGUUUAAUGAGUACUUUUAGAAAGUAUACU